GUGUCAGCAGCCGCGGUAAGACAGAGGGUGCAAACGUUGUUCGGAAUUACUGGGCGUAAAGCGCAUGUAGGCGGUUCGUAAAGUCAGAUGUGAAAGCCCUGGGCUUAACCCAGGAAGUGCAUUUGAAACUCACGAACUUGAGUCCCGGAGAGGAAGGCGGAAUUCUCGGUGUAGAGGUGAAAUUCGUAGAUAUCGAGAGGAACAUCGGUGGCGAAGGCGGCCUUCUGGACGGUGACUGACGCUGAGAUGCGAAAGCGUGGGGAGCAAACAGGAUUAGAUACCCUGGUAGUCCACGCCGUAAACGAUGGGUGCUAGGUGUCGCGGGCUUUGACUCCUGCGGUGCCGUAGCUAACGCAUUAAGCACCCCGCCUGGGGAGUACGGCCGCAAGGCUAAA
rnacentral:rRNA from 1 species